CUCCUACGGGGGGCAGCAGUGGGGAAUAUUGGGCAAUGGGCGCAAGCCUGACCCAGCAAUGCCGCGUGAAGGAAGAGGGCCCUCGGGUUGUAAACUUCUUUUAUCAGGGACGAAGGAUGUGACGGUACCUGAUGAAUAAGCUCCGGCUAACUACGUGCCAGCAGCCGCGGUAAUACGUAGGGAGCAAGCGUUAUCCGGAUUUACUGGGUGUAAAGGGCGCGUAGGCGGGAUGGCAAGUCAGAUGUGAAAUCCGGGGGCUCAACCCCUGAACUGCAUUUGAAACUGUUAUUCUAGAGUAUGGGAGG
rnacentral:rRNA from 1 species